AGAGAGAGACAUGCGCGCAUAUCAAUAAGCGGAGGAAAAGAAACUAACAAGGAUUCCCCUAGUAACGGCGAGUGAAGCGGGAAGAGCUCAAAUUUGAAAUCUUAAAGGGUUUCCCUUUACGAAUUGUAGUUUAAAGAAGUGUUUUCUGUUGAGGUUUUGGUAAAAGUUCUUUGGAAUAGGACAUCAUAGAGGGUGAGAAUCCCGUAUUUGACCUUUACUUUCAACUUUGUGAUACACCUUUCAAAGAGUCGGAUUGUUUGGGAAUGCAGUCCAAAAUGGGUGGUAAAUUUCAUCUAAAGCUAAAUACUGGCGAGAGACCGAUAGCGAACAAGUACCGUGAGGGAAAGAUGAAAAGAACUUUGAAAAGAGAGUUAAACAGUACGUGAAAUUGUCAAAAGGGAAGCGUUUGACACCAGUGUUGUUUUUCUGAAAAUCAAUUAAAGAACUGUUUAUGCUAAGUUGUUUAGACUUUAUCAGCUAACUGUUUAGUUUUGAGCUUUUCUUUAAUGCACUUUUCAGUUAACAAGUCAACAUCAAUUUCUUUUGCUGUAAAAAAGCUUGAGGAAGGUGGCUUGAGAUUCGUCUUAAGUGUUUACAGCCUCUUGCCUAUGCAGUCGGAGAGAUUGAGGUCUGCAGCGUAGAUCCUUCGGGGCUAAAUGCAUUUGUGCUAAGUUAUAACAUUUUAUAGACAACUUGUUGACUAUGAUUUGUCUUGUAGCUUACUCGCUUAUGUUAUUUUACCUACGCUUAGGAUGUUGAGCGCAUGUCUCUCUCU
rnacentral:rRNA from 1 species